GACAGAGGGUGCAAACGUUGUUCGGAAUUACUGGGCGUAAAGCGCGCGUAGGCGGCUUUGUAAGUUAGAGGUGAAAGCCCGGGGCUCAACCCCGGAAUUGCCUUUAAGACCGCAUCGCUUGAAUCCGGGAGAGGUGAGUGGAAUUCCGAGUGUAGAGGUGAAAUUCGUAGAUAUUCGGAAGAACACCAGUGGCGAAGGCGACUUACUGGACACAUAUUGACGCUGAGGUGCGAAAGCGUGGGGAGCAAACAGG
rnacentral:rRNA from 1 species